UACGGAGGGGGCUAGCGUUGUUCGGAAUUACUGGGCGUAAAGCGCACGUAGGCGGCUUCUUAAGUCAGGGGUGAAAUCCUGGAGCUCAACUCCAGAACUGCCUUUGAUACUGAGGAGCUUGAGUCCGGGAGAGGUGAGUGGAACUGCGAGUGUAGAGGUGAAAUUCGUAGAUAUUCGCAAGAACACCAGUGGCGAAGGCGGCUCACUGGCCCGGUACUGACGCUGAGGUGCGAAAGCGUGGGGAGCAAACGGGG
rnacentral:rRNA from 1 species